GCCACGAACGGCGGGGGUCGGGGACGCGCGGAGGCCCCUCCCCUCGGGCGCCCCACGUGGCCGGCGGCGGCGGUGGCGGCGCCCGGCCGGUGUGUCUCCCCGCAGGCGGCGCUGGCCGGUCCGGCGGGUAGGAGACGCGCCCGGCAACUUCCCGCGCGCCAAACCCUCCAGGGCCCCGGCACGUUCGGAAGCGAAGCGCCCGCGCCGCCCUUUGUUUCCCGCGCACGGCCGAGGGGCGUCCCUGGAAACAGCAGCCCCCCCCCCCGCCCCACCCCACCCGCUCUGCUGGCCGGGCCUGCGAGACGCGGCCCCCAAUGAGCGCCGGGGGCGGAGCCACGCGCGCCCCGCCCUCCACGGGCCGCUCGGGGGGCGCGACGCAGGCGCGUGGGGGCGGGGCCUGGCUCUGGCGCCCGUCCCGUCCGAGGGCCGCCGCUCCGCGCAGGGACCGGAGCGUAAUGCGCGUGGGCGCCGGGGGGGGGGCGGCGGGAGGGGCGGGGGCAGAGCUGCUCCUGCGGAGAUUAGGACCCUCGAGGCGGCUGCACCGGAAAAUCUCUCUCUCUCACACACACACACACACACCACACACUAGCCAGCCCGGGCCUGGCAAGCCGCCCGGCAGCCUCCCCGGGACGCCGACCUGGCCUCGGCUCCCCCCCCUCUCGCCCACCACGGCCCCGUUGGCGUCGCCUUCCGGCCGCGGCUUCUCCGCCGGCGCCCGGACAGCGGCCCUUGGGCUCUUCUCGAGCGCCGCCGCCGCCGCCGCCGCGUUGACCGGCGAUGGGCGGGGCAAGGGCAAGCCACGCCCUGCGCGGAGGGAUCCCGGGCAGGCGGCGCGACGUGGCGGUGCUGCGACCCCUCAGAGUUCGCCGGCGGAGGCCGCGCUUUCCGCCAGGGAGGGAGGCGGCGCACGUCGCCCGCCUGUCGCGGCCGCCCUCGGAGCGGGCGGCCGGUGGGUGCCCGUCCCGCAGGUGGCGGCGGCGGCGGCGGCGGCCAAGAUGAACCAGCAGCAGCAGCAGCAGCGCCUGGCCGCCAUCGGCACCGACAAGGAGCUAAGCGACCUGCUGGACUUCAGCGCGAUGUUCUCGCCCCCCGUCAACAGCGGGAAGGCCCGGCCCACCACGCUGGGGAGCAGCCGCUUCGGCGGGGCAGCAUAUCCGUCUACAAAAUCAGUUGACCCCCAUCUGCAAGUAUCAGUCAGCCUCUUUCACAAACAAACCGGCCACUGUCCAGGAAUGGAAGCUGUUGCAACUAGUGAGUUUUCGUGAAGAGAGAGAGAAAAAGAAUGAUGAACAAACCUGGAUAAAGAGAAGGCGAGAAGAAGAAGAUGAUGUUAUGAGCUAGUAGGAGUGAAAAGGGGAAGAUGAUAAGGGAACAACUGUACCCAAGCGUCUUGGAGGAUAUAGAAGAACUCCAUGAAACAGAAUAAGCAAGUAUGGAGGACACGAGCAGGGGUGAUAUCUUGGGAUGCAAGCAGUCAGUCAAGUCCUUCCUAUGAAC